rnacentral:rRNA from 1 species
GAACGGAGCGCCGGACACGGACUAUUUCGGUAGGAAGCGUGCGGAGGCUUAGUGGCGGACGGGUGAGUAACGCGUGGAUAACCUGCCGCAUACCGGGGGAUAACAGCUGGAAACAGCUGCUAAUACCGCAUAUGCCCGCAGUGCCGCAUGGCACAGCGGGGAAAACUCCGGUGGUAUGCGAUGGGUCCGCGUCUGAUUAGGCAGUUGGCGGGGUAACGGCCCACCAAACCGACGAUCAGUAGCCGGCCUGAGAGGGCGGACGGCCACACUGGGACUGAGACACGGCCCAGACUCCUGCGGGAGGCAGCAGUGGGGAAUAUUGCACAAUGGGGGAAACCCUGAUGCAGCGACGCCGCGUGAAGGAAGAAGUUCUUCGGUCCGUAAACUUCUCUCAGCAGGGAAGAAAACAGAAAAAAACUUUUUUUGAAGCCCCGGCGGGGGCAAAAAAGCAGCCGCGGUAAUACGUAGGGGGCAAGCGUUAUCCGGAUUUACUGGGUGUAAAGGGGGCGCAGACGGCCAUGGCAAGCCCGGUGUGAAAGGCAGGGGCAUAACCCGUGGACUGCACUGGGAACUGUCAGGCUGGAGUGCCGGAGGGGUAAGCGGAAUUCCUGGUGUAGCGGUGAAAUGCGUAUUUUUCAAAAGGUUCCCCGGCGGCGNGGCGGCUUNCUGGNCGGCNNCUGNCGUUGNGGCCCGAAAGCGUGGGGCCCCUUUAGGGGNNNNNNCCNNNNNNNNCCNNNAANNNNNNGCCCUUGAUGGGNGNNGGNNNUCAAGGAUAUCCGGUGCCGAAGCAAACGCAUUAAGUAUACCACCUGGGGAGUACGUUCGCAAGAAUGAAACUCAAAGGAAUUGACGGGGACCCGCACAAGCGGUGGAGCAUGUGGUUUAAUUCGAAGCAACGCGAAGAACCUUACCAGGCCUUGACAUCCUGAUGGCGUAGGCGUAACGGCUUAUUCCCCUCGGGGCAUCAGAGACAGGUGGUGCAUGGUUGUCGUCAGCUCGUGUUGUGAGAUGUUGGGUUAAGUCCCGCAACGAGCGCAACCCUUAUUCCCAGUAGCCAGCAUUUUGGAUGGGCACUCUGGGGAGACUGCCGGGGAAGACCCGGAGGAAGGCGGGGAUGACGUCAAAUCAUCAUGCCCCUUAUGGCCUGGGCUACACACGUGCUACAAUGGCGCAUACAAAGGGAGGCAAAGGAGCGAUCUGAAGCAAAUCCCAGAAAAGGCGCCCCAGUUCGGAUUGCAGCCUGCAACUCGGCUGCAUGAAGCUGGAAUCGCUAGUAAUCG